GCAGGGCUGAACCCUAGCGCGGGUCGCCCCAGCCCAGAUGGGGACCGAAAGGCGUUGUCUUCAUGUAGUUUUCUCGCUCCCAAGGAGAAGGGGUGCCACUUGGCCGGCGAAGUGGCCGGCAGCAGGAAGUAUGCCGUCGACAUCGUCGAGCUCCGCUUGAAGGACGGCAUGAAAGGCGCUCAACGACCAGAUCAUUGUCCUCUCCAAGAGGAGGGGCCAGCUCAAGGGGGCACAGCUAGCUCACAACAGCUCAGUCCCUGUUCUAGCAAUUUCGCCGGAACGUCGACCGCCUAUGCUCCACCUGAGACAUGCUGUGGAGUUUUGCAAGCAAAAGUGAAGCCUAUAAUAAUGAGUGACGAUUGUGAUAUGAUUACUGGAUGAGUAAUUCAGGGCAGGAAAGCUAAUUUACUGAAAAAAGGUAAAUACUGUAUUAAACAUAGUACAGAUGUACUUCGCUUGCCAAUUUUAAUUUCCAUUUAGAUCUAACAUGACGUCGUACUUAUAAUUUCCACAAAAUAUUGCCGGUCACUUGCGUAUGUUGGAUGUGAAAAACAGCAAUAUACACUUUGAUACUUUGAGGCUAUAAGAAAUAGUAGGGAUGAUAUGCUAACCCUUCCAGUCUGCAACAAUUUAUUCCUGGUCCCCUUGCCUCGCUUACAGUUCAUGUAGUACCAUGUUUAUGCUUCAAACCACCCACGACAUCCCUCUUCCGCCCAUUCUAUUUUAUUGAUAUUGCUUCCAAAUACACAUAUGCAUGUAGUUACUCUUUUACAGUACUAAUGCCAGAUAUCAUAAGGUAGAAAGUAGUGCUAUUUUAGUUAUGGAGUCAGCAAUGCAUGUUACUGGAAUGAUCAGCUAGCAUGCAAAUGAGCUCCAUUUCUUCUCUUUCAGAUACGAUCUUAUGUUCUGCCUGAACAUAGAUGCUUCCGCUGUGCACUCCAUUGUUCUGUCUUAUCACAAUUGGGUAUUGAAAGCGCCUAUUUUGAAUGCAACAAUUUAAAUAUUUACUGCUCUCUGUCUCCCCAUGUUUAGUGACGACGAAGUGAUGCAUACGGAAACAUGUUCGAUAAGAAACAGCAUGUCAAUAUGGAAUAUAAGCUGAGUGAGUAUUGUGUAUGAUGAGCCCUCCAAACAUUUUGCAAGGCCUGUAAAACAGUGGAAUGCAGCACUAGCAGAAAGGAAGAGCUGUAGACUCAAUCGUGGACUACUUGAGUUAACUAUUUGCUCAAUACAUCAAGCACCAGGCCUCUCCUACUCCUGCUCUCAAAAUGGAAAAGGAGAUCAGGCAACUAGGGAUCUGAGUACUAUAAUUUGAUAAUUUGUGUUUUUUGGGUGCUAAAAUAAUAUGACUAUUGAUGUACAUUUUUCUUAUGAUCAGGCAUGAAAGUGUCACCUUUUCUUAGAAGUGCCUUAUUCUUAGCCAGUCCUUCCAAUUAACACCUUAUUGAUUGGAACAUAAUGAGUAAAUGUAUGUGUGGUUCUUUCUGUUUAAGAGAUUCAGAUGAAAUUAUGGAAGCUACAACCUCUGUAUCUUAAGACCUUUUUUAUACCAAAAAGCUCCUUGCACAUUAAGUUA